GGGUUGUGAGGUUAAGCGACUAAGCGUACACGGUGGAUGCCCUGGCAGUCAGAGGCGAUGAAGGACGUGCUAAUCUGCGAUAAGCGUCGGUAAGGUGAUAUGAACCGUUAUAACCGGCGAUUUCCGAAUGGGGAAACCCAGUGUGUUUCGACACACUAUCAUUAACUGAAUCCAUAGGUUAAUGAGGCGAACCGGGGGAACUGAAACAUCUAAGUACCCCGAGGAAAAGAAAUCAACCGAGAUUCCCCCAGUAGCGGCGAGCGAACGGGGAGCAGCCCAGAGCCUGAAUCAGUGUGUGUGUUAGUGGAAGCGUCUGGAAAGGCGCGCGAUACAGGGUGACAGCCCCGUACACAAAAAUGCACAUGCUGUGAGCUCGAUGAGUAGGGCGGGACACGUGGUAUCCUGUCUGAAUAUGGGGGGACCAUCCUCCAAGGCUAAAUACUCCUGACUGACCGAUAGUGAACCAGUACCGUGAGGGAAAGGCGAAAAGAACCCCGGCGAGGGGAGUGAAAAAGAACCUGAAACCGUGUACGUACAAGCAGUGGGAGCACGCUUCGGCGUGUGACUGCGUACCUUUUGUAUAAUGGGUCAGCGACUUAUAUUCUGUAGCAAGGUUAACCGAAUAGGGGAGCCGAAGGGAAACCGAGUCUUAACUGGGCGUUAAGUUGCAGGGUAUAGACCCGAAACCCGGUGAUCUAGCCAUGGGCAGGUUGAAGGUUGGGUAACACUAACUGGAGGACCGAACCGACUAAUGUUGAAAAAUUAGCGGAUGACUUGUGGCUGGGGGUGAAAGGCCAAUCAAACCGGGAGAUAGCUGGUUCUCCCCGAAAGCUAUUUAGGUAGCGCCUCGUGAAUUCAUCUCCGGGGGUAGAGCACUGUUUCGGCAAGGGGGUCAUCCCGACUUACCAACCCGAUGCAAACUGCGAAUACCGGAGAAUGUUAUCACGGGAGACACACGGCGGGUGCUAACGUCCGUCGUGAAGAGGGAAACAACCCAGACCGCCAGCUAAGGUCCCAAAGUCAUGGUUAAGUGGGAAACGAUGUGGGAAGGCCCAGACAGCCAGGAUGUUGGCUUAGAAGCAGCCAUCAUUUAAAGAAAGCGUAAUAGCUCACUGGUCGAGUCGGCCUGCGCGGAAGAUGUAACGGGGCUAAACCAUGCACCGAAGCUGCGGCAGCGACGCUUAUGCGUUGUUGGGUAGGGGAGCGUUCUGUAAGCCUGUGAAGGUGUGCUGUGAGGCAUGCUGGAGGUAUCAGAAGUGCGAAUGCUGACAUAAGUAACGAUAAAGCGGGUGAAAAGCCCGCUCGCCGGAAGACCAAGGGUUCCUGUCCAACGUUAAUCGGGGCAGGGUGAGUCGACCCCUAAGGCGAGGCCGAAAGGCGUAGUCGAUGGGAAACAGGUUAAUAUUCCUGUACUUGGUGUUACUGCGAAGGGGGGACGGAGAAGGCUAUGUUGGCCGGGCGACGGUUGUCCCGGUUUAAGCGUGUAGGCUGGUUUUCCAGGCAAAUCCGGAAAAUCAAGGCUGAGGCGUGAUGACGAGGCACUACGGUGCUGAAGCAACAAAUGCCCUGCUUCCAGGAAAAGCCUCUAAGCAUCAGGUAACAUCAAAUCGUACCCCAAACCGACACAGGUGGUCAGGUAGAGAAUACCAAGGCGCUUGAGAGAACUCGGGUGAAGGAACUAGGCAAAAUGGUGCCGUAACUUCGGGAGAAGGCACGCUGAUAUGUAGGUGAAGUCCCUCGCGGAUGGAGCUGAAAUCAGUCGAAGAUACCAGCUGGCUGCAACUGUUUAUUAAAAACACAGCACUGUGCAAACACGAAAGUGGACGUAUACGGUGUGACGCCUGCCCGGUGCCGGAAGGUUAAUUGAUGGGGUCAGCGCAAGCGAAGCUCUUGAUCGAAGCCCCGGUAAACGGCGGCCGUAACUAUAACGGUCCUAAGGUAGCGAAAUUCCUUGUCGGGUAAGUUCCGACCUGCACGAAUGGCGUAAUGAUGGCCAGGCUGUCUCCACCCGAGACUCAGUGAAAUUGAACUCGCUGUGAAGAUGCAGUGUACCCGCGGCAAGACGGAAAGACCCCGUGAACCUUUACUAUAGCUUGACACUGAACAUUGAGCCUUGAUGUGUAGGAUAGGUGGGAGGCUUUGAAGUGUGGACGCCAGUCUGCAUGGAGCCGACCUUGAAAUACCACCCUUUAAUGUUUGAUGUUCUAACGUUGACCCGUAAUCCGGGUUGCGGACAGUGUCUGGUGGGUAGUUUGACUGGGGCGGUCUCCUCCUAAAGAGUAACGGAGGAGCACGAAGGUUGGCUAAUCCUGGUCGGACAUCAGGAGGUUAGUGCAAUGGCAUAAGCCAGCUUGACUGCGAGCGUGACGGCGCGAGCAGGUGCGAAAGCAGGUCAUAGUGAUCCGGUGGUUCUGAAUGGAAGGGCCAUCGCUCAACGGAUAAAAGGUACUCCGGGGAUAACAGGCUGAUACCGCCCAAGAGUUCAUAUCGACGGCGGUGUUUGGCACCUCGAUGUCGGCUCAUCACAUCCUGGGGCUGAAGUAGGUCCCAAGGGUAUGGCUGUUCGCCAUUUAAAGUGGUACGCGAGCUGGGUUUAGAACGUCGUGAGACAGUUCGGUCCCUAUCUGCCGUGGGCGCUGGAGAACUGAGGGGGGCUGCUCCUAGUACGAGAGGACCGGAGUGGACGCAUCACUGGUGUUCGGGUUGUCAUGCCAAUGGCACUGCCCGGUAGCUAAAUGCGGAAGAGAUAAGUGCUGAAAGCAUCUAAGCACGAAACUUGCCCCGAGAUGAGUUCUCCCUGACCCUUUAAGGGUCCUGAAGGAACGUUGAAGACGACGACGUUGAUAGGCCGGGUGUGUAAGCGCAGCGAUGCGUUGAGCUAACCGGUACUAAUGAACCGUGAGGCUUAACCUUACAACGCCGAAGCUGUU
rnacentral:rRNA from 1 species